UAAUCCUUUUUUUGUUUUUGAGACAGAGUCUUAUGAUUCCAGGCUGGACUCAAACUCUAGGAAGCUAAAAAUGACCUUGAGCUUCUGUUGCUCGGAUUCCACCUUCAGAACCUGGAAUCACAGAGGCAGAGACCCUCUUCCCUGUGGCCUUCCGAGGACAACGACAUGUGUUGAUAGCCCAUAGCAGUGCCCCACCAGGUCAUCACUGGGUGGAUUGGUCCUUCUCCCUAACUCUACAAACAUGAGGAGGCCAUGCAUCAAAGUAGGAGCCUCCAGGUGGUGUUCCAACCGGGGCUUUCCUUCUUCCUAGGCGCUUAUUCACUGCUUCCCCCUUUAUCCUGCACAAGCUCCUUUGUCUCCCAGAGGAUCUUCCAGUAUCUUGCCCUUCUCUGUUCAGAACUCCUUCCACACGGGUACAAAGUGAGCUCUCUGAACCGUGGAUCUUCCAUGCGCUUCUGUUUGACAGUCACCUGUCACCUGGGAUCAGUUUGGAGGACUUCUUGCUUGCCAAGAAGCUUUCUGACUUUGUAUGUGUGCACAUUUGUACUUUGUGUGUGUGGAGGCUGGAGGCAUCACCCACAGCAACUCUACCCACCUUCUUUGAGGUGGGGCCUCUCAUUGGCCUGGAGCUCACAAUUGAGCCAACCAGAAGGCCCCAGAGAUCCUCUUGUCUCGGCCUCCCCAGCGCUGGGCUCACAAGCAUACACUACCAUACCCAGGCAUUUUAAAGUAGGUUCCUGGGGAUCGAACUCGGCUCCUCAUGAUUGUAAGGCAAACAAACACUUUACCAACUGAGCUAACCCUCAGCCCCCACAUUGCUGACUUUGAAGUCCGCAUCCCACUGCUGGUCAGUUGCUACUUUAGGAUUCACUGGGUAACACUAAAACCACAUCACAGGCUGACACCACACGGGAGCAGUGUGUCAACGCUCAUCCAUCUGGUUCCUCAUGACUGAUGUUCCUCAGGCUACCAUCUGUUCUUCUUCCCAUUCAGCCCAUCUAGCUAUCCAACAGGCUACCAUACUUCUUUAAAAGGAUGUGGUGGACAUACGAAGCAUCUUCCAUGGCUCAUUUCCAUAGCAUAUUACGGGUAGAAAGUCUAUCCUAUCAUUCAGCAGUCAUAUUUCAAAAAAAAGUUAAUCUUUAAGCAGGGAUGAAAAACAGCUGCCUGGCAACCCACUUUCACAGAUUCCUCUUCUAAACCAGUGGUUCUUCACCUUCCCAGUGCUGGGACCCUUUAACACAGUUCCUCAUGUUGUGGUGACCCCCAACCAUAAAGUUAUUUUCAUUGCUACUUCACAACUGUAAUUUUGCUACUGUUAUGAAUCGUAAUGUAAAUGUCUGACAGGUGACCCCUGUGAAAGAGUUGGUCAACCUCCAACUCACAGGUUGAGAACCGCUGUGCAGGGAAUCACAUCUACCUGCCUCUGCCUCCCAAGUGGUGGCAUUAAAGGUGUGGCCACCUAUUGGGGUCCACAGAGGUUUCCUAGUGAGAUCUGAGCUUGCUUUACAUAGCAGGGCUGUGUGAGGGGAUGGCUUGACCACAUGCAUGGUUACCAGGUGUCUGAGAUGGUCUGCACUUGGCUGUGUUAGGGGAGGUCUUUUGCUCCACCCCUUGGCGUUCCUUUAAAAGCCCUUUGGCAGAGAGAGUCAGGGCCGAUGGAUAAGGAUCCAGGCCCUCCUGAGGCUACCCUGUGUUUUCUGUCUGCCUCUCUCUUGCUCUAUUUCUAAUAUUUCCUGCUGCUCCUGCUCAAGAGUACCCUGGGGAAAAGUGGGGGUGGGACGGCCCUUCACAGCCACCAUGCUUGGCUUAAGCAGAAACUCUGCUCUAAUGUUACCAUUCCAAUUUAUAAUCAGACGCUGAGGCAUCCUCCCUAGAAAUUACAUUUAGAAUGCCAGGCUAUACUCUCUGUGGGGGACACAUUCUGGUCGGGCUUUUCUUUGAUUAGUGGCAGAGUCUAGCUGGUUUAGUUGGUCACCAUUAUGUAGGUUACGUUGGAGAACAGGGGCAGGGUGACCUGUUAAGAUCCUACAAUGGUCCAAACUCCAUGUUCUAUUAGUUGUGUUCUGUUCAGAUGCUAUGCAGAAUACAAUGGUGUUUUGCAGGCAUUAUGAUUUCCCGGUAUGCAGCUAUAAAUGGAGAGCCAAUAGCCGGGAAAAAUCAAGCUGAGCGCUAAGCCUGUGCUUAAGUGGGACUCUUCCAGUGAAGAACCAGUGCUGAGGCUGCGGAAUCUCAUUGUAUGCUGCUGUCCAGAGGGGAAAACACAGACCAUUUGGCCUUUUUGUGUCAUAAUGAGUGCACAACAAUGGAGUGUGGGGGUGUGGCUCAACCUGCAACACAAGAGAAAUCCCGAAAAAGCCAGGUGUGGGGCGCGGUGGGGCUUCUGUGUGUUUAUUCCCAGUCAAAGCGACAAAAGCCAAUACAAGGCUUCUGUAGAUUGCCAAAGAAGAGUAAGCCUGGGUGCCAGCUUUUGGGCAGGCAUGUCCCUUCCUGAGGUGUGUGAGCUCUGAACAUCCACAGAGCAGCCUCAUCCAGGAGCCACUGGGGCUGUGUUACAUGGCAUAGAGAGCCAUGAACACUUUCCACCCACACAUCCUCAUGAGGUGACAUUUUUGCUAAAACAACCAACAGCUACUGUCAGGUCACCUGAGUCACAAAGUGACCACACCAGGUUCAUGUGUUUCCAUUCACAGUCAUUAAAAUAAUUGUUGCUAAUUUGCAUAACAAAAUCUGAUUGUCAAAAUGAAAUUCACCCGAGUAACAAGGCUACAUCAAAGAAUCCAAUGCUAACCUUAAUCUACAGGUGAAAAGUAGCUGGGGUGUCUAGGCUCACGCUAUCAGGCUGAUGUGCCUGAGUGAGCAUGCUUCAGCUGAUGAGAAGGGGCAGCAAAGGAAAGUUGGCAUGGUGGAUGCAAAUCUCACCACUUGUCCAAUCAAGGCGUACUCAGUAACCCUCAGAGAAGGGUUGGCUUUGAAAGAAGUCGUAAAACCUGACACAAUUCAACAGUUUCAUGGUCAUUUAAACAACAUCUUUGUUUAGUCAGGACAAGACUUCAGGAAGAUGCGAAGCAAGAAAGACCUAUCCAAACAAAACCAGUGCACAUGUGUGCACCCUAGAGUUCCCUACGGCUGUGUUAGUUACUUUCUUCUGGUGAUGAGAUACCUGACCAGAGCAGCCUAAGUGCAGAAGGGAUCCCUGACUCACAGUUUGAGAAAGUCACUCUGGCCGGAGCAGGAGGCAUCUAUAAUGUGGGGGUUUAACAAGGCAACUCCACGUAGUUAAAAGGAGGUUUAUUCUGGGGUAACUUACAGCCAGUAAAGGGCUUGGUUACAGGAGCCAGAAGAGGUGAAGUACAGUCCAGAGGGGUUCUCUGGAGAACUCUGACUCGGUCUGUCAUUCAGCAUCCAGGAUCAUGAGGAACCAAGAGGGUCAAUGGUCGGAUUUUGGGUCUUAAGGGCUCUUAUCCCAGUUACCAGCUGCCUCACUGAGGCAAUGCUUCAAGGUCAAAGCUGGAACAGCUACCCACUACAUCUCCCCCUUUUGUCUAAAUAAAAAAAUUCUAACCUAAUACAAAACCAUAUACAAUAGGAAUGAUUAUCAAAUAUUGUCCAGGAGGAAUAAGGGAUAAUGACCUAGACAAGAUGGAACUAUAACCAACAAGAACAACACCAAACAAGAGACACAUACUAAAAUCCAGAGAAGUCUAGAGCAUAGGUAAAUGGCACGUUGCAGAGAUCAUAUCCAAAGGUCUCCUAUCCUAAAGAACCUGAAUCUAAUACUUAAUAUGUUCUAGCUAAGACACAAGAAGAUUGUAACUAUAACUGCUAGUCUUCAAUCCCAUCAAAGACUUGAGAAGGAAUAUAAUAAUACCUGAGAAACAGGAGAAGGAUACAAGCAACUUUCGGGAGUCCUGCGAGAGUAGACAGAGACAGCUGGCAGCCUGAACAGUCACCUAAAGUUGGUGCAUCGUUGGUACAUUCAAAUUGGCUACAGGCCUAGAGUAUCUGUCAGACCAUUUUACUGUCAGCAGUUGAGGCAAGGGCAGUUCUUUGCCCAGUAGGCCAUUUUGUGCCAAGAUGAAGACAAACUUCCAAAUGGAAAUGUCUUAGAAGCCCAACAUUCUCUCAGGUUCAGAUCAGUGCUGCCAGGAGCAAUUGUGUCUCACGUCAACAGAAUUCCAAGUUAUCAAAACAUUAAAAUGCUAUAUUCUCUAGGUUUGAAGACUGCCUAUCCAUCUGACAUAUGUUUCUGUAAGUCUGUAGUUCUGGAGAACCUAAUUAACAUAACUAUAGAGAUGACAAGCAUAGGUGACUAUAAAUCUGUAAGUCUUAUCUACCUAGAUAAUCUAAGGACUAAGGCUUCACGUAAACAGGGUAAACAGUCUGUAAGCAAAUGCACAGUAAAAGGACAAUGACCUCAAAAUUGUGACAAUACACAAAAUAGCCAAAGCAGAGGUAGGCAUGUAUAGUACAAUAUGCAAUAUGACAAUAAUCCUAAAUAUGUAUCAAUAUACCAAAUAUCCUAAACAGAGGUAGAACAUACAUACAGUAUGACAAAUAUAAUUUUACAUUUGUAUCAAUAUACAAACAUGUCAAAUAAGAGUAGAAAUAUAUGUACAUUGCAACACACCUAGUCACAUGGUUUUGCAGCCAGGAAAGCAGAUGAAUGCUGAUUUUUUAGCUGGUGUUCCAGGACCCAGGCUAUGGACUGACACCAUCCAUAGUUAACGUAGAUUUUCUCAUAUCAGCUAACCCCCUCAUGGAGAUGCCCAGGUGAUUGCUUCCACCAAGUUGGCAAAACAUCAGUGUCUUUUGUUUUCUACCUGCUCUCACACUGUGACUUUCCUGUCAGUUCCCUCAGUAACCGCACUCAGAAGCCUGUGAGAAACGGGAACCCAGACUAGGUCAGUGAGUCUCAAGGAGGUGGGGCCGCAGGAUCACCUGCUGGCUUCUUCAAAGUGUCUCCUACAGGAGAGUAUUUGAACUUUGACUUAGCUAACCCAGGGAGUCCAUGGGUCCUCUCUCAGGUUAUCUGUGUCUGUGAGGCAGACGUGUCCUUGAUUCAUCCCAUGAACUAAAGCUCAGGCAGGACAACACCGUUUACUUUGAAAGUCUGUCAGUCUUUUCUGUUCCUACCUGUCUUCCUACUGACUGUCGCUCUUCAUGGUCACGUGACUCCUGUGUGCUACACACAGCAAGGACUGGCUAAGGCAGCUUUGGAAAGGCUUUUCCUCGAUCCCUUCAUUGUAUCAGAGGGGUGAGGAACGUCGACUGGCAACCAAACUCUUUCUAUGAAGCAGAGAGGAAACACUUAGGCUUUAGGAAGCACUGGUUUCCACUUGCAUGGGCCUCAUCAGAGCUAUAGCCCUGGGGGACUCAGGCAGAGGAUGUGGAGGACUAAUCCCUAAUCCCUACAGGCCUGAGUGGCCAUGCUGGAAGGAGAUUCACUCUCCACUCUCCUUUCCAAUGAGCUAGGCCUGGUUUUUGUAUUAGUGGAAGUUAAAUCCAUAGCACAGUAGUGUUAAGUAAAACUCCAUGAGGGAGGGUCAAAUAGUACUUAAGAAAAUGCACUUUUAAAAAUUUAAACUUUUGGCCGGGCUUUGGUGGCACAUGCCUUUAAUCCCAGCACUCGGGAGGCAGAGGCAGGUGGAUCUGUGAGAGUUUGAGGCCAGCCUGAUCUAUGAAUGAAUUCCAGGACAGCCAGGGCUACACAUAGAAACCCUGUCUCAGAAACAAACAAAGAGUUCACAGCCAGGCUAGGAGAAUGCGCCCCGCUGCCGGGCUUCCAUUCCUAGCCCAGUUACUCAGCCAGCCUUGCUGCCAUAGACACAGAAUUUACUGAUGCUCAGCAGUCCGGAGCCUUAGCCUUACCGGGCUCACAUCCUGUGGCAUGACUGCUUCUUUGGUUGAACCAGAACAAGGUACCUGCCUCUCUCCCUUCUCCCUCUCUGGGGUGGAUGUCUUCUCCAGUUGCGUUUCUCUGAGGUAUUAGGGAGUCUUUGAUGGCAGGAAUCACAAUCAGGUUCCAGGAGAACACAGUGGUAUGCAUGCUCAUGUGUGCCUAUGAUUCUGAGAGAGGGAGAAAGAGAAGUCUGGGAAGAAAGGAUUCCACAAGCAGCAGGUUUACCAUCCUCACUCCCGUACCUGACCAUCUAACCAACAACUUGAGCUGACUGAAGUUGUCAGGGCAUUUCGAUCUGGAAGGGAAGAAAGCCUGCCCUGUGGCUGCUCAGCUGAUGGGAGGAGAACAGACAUUCUGAACGCCAGAGACGACGGGAAAGACUCAAGCCCCUCUUAGCCCAUUCUCAUCCCUAAGGCACCAUCUUGAUUUUUGAAUGGAGUUGUAGAGUAAACGUGCAAGCAUGUUAGAUGACGUGGCGUUUUAUAGAGGCAAACUAGGUGGAACUUUGGUACAAGUACACUUUGUUUUUAAAAACUGUACAAACCCGACUAUAAAAAAUGCAGCAGGGGCCUGAGAGAUUGCCCAGCCUGCGAAGUUUGGCCUGUAAGUGAAGACUGACUUCCAUCCCCCAAAGCCACAGGCCAAGCUGGGCAGGGUGAUGCACACAUGUAACCCUCGCACUGAGGAGGUAGAGACGGGCUAAUCCCUGAGCUGACCGUCUAGGGUAGCCUAGCUGGUGCGCCAAUGAGAUACGGUCUCCAAAAAACAAGAUGAUUGACUCCCAGGAAAUGGUACCCAAUGUUGUGCUCUGGCUUCCACACACAUGUGCACACACUACUAACACCUGCACAUACAUAUGCAGAGAAACAAGCACUAUUAACACUGGCCCACGUCAUUCAGUUCUUCACAUCUGGUAUAAACAUAAGCCUCAGCAGGGUGCUGGAAUCACCUUGAUGGAAAUUAUACUCAAUCAAGUUCUUAUUUAAAGAAUAUUGUUUUUGAAACAAGAUGUAAUCAAAGAAAGUAGAUGUGUGAAAUAAAGUAUAAUGUAGAGGAAUAAAAGAACAAAUGAAAAUUUAAAAAUGUGUCUCAUCAUAUCCCACAACUGUCCCAUGAGCCUCAGCAGCUGCUGGACAUAGCCCAACAGUCCCAGUUUGGCCAGACUGAGAGACGUGUCUGCACACAGGGCUUUUGGUGCUAACACCGGCAGUGUGUGUGUGUGUGUGUGUGUGUGUGUGUGUGUG